UUAUUGGAGAGUUUGAUCCUGGCUCAGGAUGAACGCUGGCGGCGUGCCUAAUACAUGCAAGUCGAGCGAAUGGAUUGAGAGCUUGCUCUCAAGAAGUUAGCGGCGGACGGGUGAGUAACACGUGGGUAACCUGCCCAUAAGACUGGGAUAACUCCGGGAAACCGGGGCUAAUACCGGAUAAUAUUUUGAACUGCAUGGUUCGAAAUUGAAAGGCGGCUUCGGCUGUCACUUAUGGAUGGACCCGCGUCGCAUUAGCUAGUUGGUGAGGUAACGGCUCACCAAGGCAACGAUGCGUAGCCGACCUGAGAGGGUGAUCGGCCACACUGGGACUGAGACA
rnacentral:rRNA from 1 species